AAUGCUACAAGCGUCCAUUAAAAGGGACAGUUUCCAACAUUGAAACUCCAGGAACUUAACCCCCAACUCAGAAACGGUGGCUGAUGCUCCAGCAGCCAUCCUGGACCACAAAGUAACACCGAAGAUGGAAACUAGGUUCUAGGACAGUGGCAGAGAAAGAUCCUAGCUCCUGCCUCUGAUGACACGUGAAGCUGCCAUUCUAGCCCUUGACUGCCCACCACUAGAUUUCUUUUCUAUGAGAGAGAAAUAAAUGUUUAUCUCACUUAAGCAA